CGGGCGGUAGGGACAGGACCUUGGGUAGGCGCGGGGCCCGGGGAGGACGCCUCGCUCACCGCCGCGCUUGCGCGCGCCCCCCGCGUCCCCGGCGCGCCUAGCCCGGGCAGAGUCCGGCUGCGCCUGCGCGCGCCUGUCUGUGAUCUGCCCGGGGGUGAGUUCUCAAGCCCAUUUGGCAGAUGCAGAGACUGAGUCCCAGGCGGUCCCUGCCGUCCCGGGGCGGCGGUUCUGGGUGCCAGCUCCCCUCUCCAGCCUCAGGCCCGGCGACCGCAGGGACCCACGCUCUCCUGUGCGCGGUCGGGGAGCGACCUGGAGAAGCAAGAGUCAAGAUCAAGUGGAGAAGGCAUCUGGUAGCACGGGUGGAGCAAGCACCUGGGCAGGGAGCAGUGCUGCCCUGGGGUGCCAUCUAAGCGGGGUCCAGGUGACACAGGGGAGCCCCUCCUCUGGGAAGCCUCCCUAAGCUGAUCAGAAGGGAGAGGGGGCCUACUGUGGUUCCUUUCCACAUUCUCCAGUCUCGGGCCUUAGUGUGGCCCCCUGCUUGGGAACUCACUGUGGCCUGCCGGCGCGAGCCCCGUACCAUCACUCCACUCCUGCGCUGCUUGAACUCUCUCCUGUACUAUCCUCCAGCUGCUGUGACGGGAGGCACCGGUGACAUUCCCAAACAGCGGUAUGCACUGGCCCUACGAUGUUGUCAGCAACAGAAGCCUCAAGACAGUUUUACAUCUUGUCAUGACUGUUGCAGGAACCAUGAAAUCUCGUUUCUGUCCCCCGCUCAACUGAGAUUACAGAGGUGGUCAGCCUGCAGCUAGCGUUUUCAUCUCUGGUGUUGGCAACGGAGGCUGACAGAAAUCACAGCGCUGCAUUCGAGCCCCCUUCUGCGCAAGGCUCCAUUCCCACGUCUGCCAGCAUUAGGGAGCCGAACACAGUCGGAAGGACACGCUGGAUGUGUGCAGUCCGGAAAGUGCUAACUGCACUCGGUACAUUUUGGAAACCAUCAUCCUCAUCGAGGUCAUAGAAACCUGUUGCCCCUGAAGUCACAUGCCACAAAAAUCUUAAAACUUUUGAUAACUGGAUCUGUUUCUGAUGGUGCAUCAUUGAUGCUAGGUAGUAAUAAAACCGUAUUCUGAGAAGGAA